UGAAUAUCUGAAAUGAAUUCACUUGAAACUAACAGAGAAUUUCAUUCUCUAUUUGACUAUAGUUUUUUUCUAUAAUAAGAUGAAUUACAUGGAAAAGAAAAAAAUAAAUGGAACAUUUUUGAAAGGGCGAGUAAGGAAUGGCUCCCUCCCUACCCUCAUAGCCCCUCCUGGACACAGAAGAAGGAAGGACAUUGGGGUGGGUAGCUGGUCUAAGUAGAGUCUCGCAGGUGACAGUGAGCCUGGGUUGAGUUGAGGACCAUCUGCACAGGUGCCUGCAGUGUGCAAUAAGUUCGGCUGGGUAGGGAGGGUGGGACCAGAUUUCAAAGCCUGUUCAUCAAAAUCUUUUUCCUCUCAGUGUGAGCAUUUGCAUCAAACUUUUGUGAAAGUGCCCGUAUCUACCCUUGUGAGGCAGACAGCCCUGAACCCCAUAACUGGAUGGGGGGGAGCCUCUCGUGCAUCAUUCAACAUGAACCUUGGUUACAAUUACUCAUUCAACAGGCAUUUACUGGGUCCCAACUAUGCUAGGCUCUGGGAUGCAGGGAUGAUUGUGGUGGAGCUGGUGGAAGGGGCACAGGCUUCUUCACACAGACCUGGGUAAGAGGCCCAGUUCCACCUCUUCACAGCUGGCAAGGCUUUGGCGAGUUACUUAAUCUCUCUGAGCUUCAGUUCAUUUCUCUGUAACAAUGAUGAGACUACAACUUCCCCUGCAGGGGGCUGUCACCAGGGUUAAAUGGGAUAAUCACAUAGGCAAAGCCCCUAGUGUGGAGAUGGACUGGCAUAUCACGGAAGCUCAGUAGGGGUCCUGCUCCUGUGUCCUUCUCCCCUGGGUCUCCUGAAACCUCCUGGCCUUCGAAGCCAGAGGGGAGAGGCAGAUAUGAAACAGAAUCUUUACACAAUGGUCACGAUGAUGAGCAAUAUGAAUGAGUAAUUUUGUGCUCAGAGCCUGAACAGCAUUUCAUUCUCAGAACAACUCUGGGAGCAGGGGUCAUCAUUCCUAUUUACAGAAAAGAAUACUUGGGGUGAAAGAGGCCAGGCACUUUGUCCAAGGCCACACAGCUAGAAAGUGGCAGAGGUGGGACUCCCUUCCAGACCUGUCUUGCUCUUGGUCAUGGAACUAUAUUCUUCUCCAAUCUGAUCAAUGGCAACGCAGGGAUCUGUCCAGGGUGUUGCUGGACCUUGAACCAUCUGCUGGAGUCUGCCAGGUUCUGGGUCAAGCAGAUGCAAGGAUUCUUAAGAUGGUGACUGUACCCAUAGGGGUUCCCAGGCUCAUGUGAAACUUAGAUAUGGAGCACCUUUCAGGAUAGCAGCCUAAAUUGAUAAAAAAAAACCAUCAGUGCAUUAAUUAGCUUGAUUUAGCCACUCCACAACGUAUAUAUAUUUCAAAAGAUCAUGUUGUACACAAUAAAUACAUACCAUCUUAUUUGUCAAUUAAAAACAAAUAAAAUAAAUUAAAAUCUUAAAAAACCUCACCAGGUCAAUGAGUAUUUACCAAUUGCUUCCAACAGGCCCUAGAAUUGUUGAAUUCUAUCUUUGUUUUUAGAUGGGGUCUCACUGUGUUGCCCAGGCUGGUCUCAAACUCCUAGCCUGAAGCCAUCCCCCGCCUCAGCCUCCCGGGUAGCUGGGACUACAGGUGCAUGCCACUGUGCCUGGUUUUAGCUCACUGAAUUCUCACAGUGAUCCACAACACAGAGAUUCUCAUCCUUAUGCUAGGUAUAAGACUGACAGCACACAGGUCCACAGACUUGCCUGAAGCCCCACAGCUUGCAAGUUGCAGAUCAGGAUUUGAAUGCAGGUCUGCUAGUCACUUAAUGCCCCACAUUUAACCCCUGGGCAACACUGCCAAUCCGGACAGCCCUUCAAUAGGGAUCCUAAUGUAAACACAAGGAAAUGGCUGCCGACCCAACCAUGCAUCCUGGGAGCAGGGAGCGUUCUCCUUAAAGUAAGGUGGCAGACUGUGGUGGAGGGUAGCCCUGGGUUUGAAUUUCAACCUGGGCACUUAAUAACUUUGUGACCUUGGGUGUGUCAUGUCCCCUCUCUGGCCUCAGUUUCCUCAUCUAUAAGGGGUGUUGUGACCAUAUGAAAUAAUGUCUAUUUCAAUGUCCUGUCUCGGGGCUGCCACUCUAUGGACACACCCAACAAAAACUUGUUGUGUUGGUAUCUAAGGAGGCCAGCAUUGUUUAUCAGAGCCUCUGACUGGCAAACCCUUGACCCAAACCGUUGCACAACGCUGGUCCUGAUCAUAUGAGCCUUUGCGCCAGAGCUCAGGUCCCCUGAGUCCCCAUGGCCUUAUCCUGAGAUGCUGAGGCUCCAUGCCUGUGGCAAUAGUUGCUUCACAUGGCGGCAACUCUUCUUGCAAUGGGGAACAUGGAGGCAGAAACAGUUCCCAGAGG
rnacentral:lncRNA from 10 species